rnacentral:rRNA from 1 species
UAGUGCCAACACAAAACCGAAGGGUAUGAGUUGCACAUGGGUGGAUACACAGAAAACUGAGGAGCUGAAAUGUUGAGUGCUGGAGGCAACCUAGCGGCGGACGGGUGAGUAACGCGUGAGCAAUCUGCCUCAUACAGGGGGAUAACAGGUGGAAACACUUGCUAAUACCGCAUAAGACCACAGCGCUGCAUGGCGCAGGGGUCAAAGGAGUAAGAUCCGGCAUGAGAUGAGCUCGCGUCCCAUUAGCUAGUUGGCGGGGUAACGGCCCACCAAGGCGACGAUGGGUAGCCGACCUGAGAGGGUGAUCGGCCACACUGGGACUGAGACACGGCCCAGACUCCUACGGGAGGCAGCAGUGGGGAAUAUUGCGCAAUGGGGGGAACCCUGACGCAGCAACGCCGCGUGAGUGAAGAAGGUCUUCGGAUCGUAAAACUCUGUCAUAGGGGAAGAAGGAGAUGACGGUACCCUAUGAGGAAGCCCCGGCUAACUACGUG